UUUUUGGGGUUGUGCUCGUGAUUGACGUGACAGCGGAUGUCGAGGGUUGUUUCAACGUUGUCCCUUGUGUUGUGGAUGUGGUUGACAACGUGAUUACUGUAGAUGACAUGUUGUUAAACGCCGUAGUCCCCGUUAAUGUAGAAGUACUUGGAGGCGUAGUCUCGGCUGGUGUUGAUCUGUUAUUUGUAGUAGUCUCUGCUGAUGUUGGACUGUUAUUUGUAGUAGUCUCUGCUGAUGUUGGACUGUUAUUUGUAGUAGUU